UACGUAGGUGACAAGCGUUGUCCGGAUUUACUGGGCGUAAAGAGCGCGCAGGCGGUCGUUCAAGUCGAGUGUGAAAGCCCCCGGCUCAACUGGGGAGGGUCACUCGAUACUGAUCGACUCGAAGGCAGGAGAGGGAAGUGGAAUUCCCGGUGUAGUGGUGAAAUGCGUAGAUAUCGGGAGGAACACCAGUGGCGAAGGCGGUUACCUGGAGCUUUGCUGACGCUGAUGCGCGAAAGCGUGGGGAGCGAUCCGG
rnacentral:rRNA from 1 species